rnacentral:rRNA from 1 species
GACGAACGCUGGCGGCGUGCUUAACACAUGCAAGUCGAGCGGUAAGGCCCUUUCGGGGGUACACGAGCGGCGAACGGGUGAGUAACACGUGGGUGACCUGCCCUCAGCUCUGGGAUAAGCCUGGGAAACUGGGUCUAAUACUGGAUAUGACUCCACGGUGCAUGUCGUGGGGUGGAAAGCCUUGUGCGGCUGAGGAUGGGCCCGCGGCCCAUCAGCUUGUUGGUGGGGUGANGGCCUACCGAGGCGACGACGGGUAGCCGGCCUGAGAGGGCGACCGGCCACACUGGGACUGAGACACGGCCCAGACUCCUACGGGAGGCAGCAGUGGGGAAUCUUGCGCAAUGGGCGAAAGCCUGACGCAGCGACGCCGCGUGAGGGAUGACGGCCUCGGUU